AUUGAACGCUGGCGGCAGGCCUAACACAUGCAAGUCGAACGAGUGGCGGACGGGUGAGUAAUGUCUGGGAAACUGCCUGAUGGAGGGGGAUAACUACUGGAAACGGUAGCUAAUACCGCAUACCCUCGGAUGUGCCCAGAUGGGAUUAGCUAGUAGGUGGGGUAAAGGCUCACCUAGGCGACGAUCCCUAGCUGGUCUGAGAGGAUGACCAGCCACACUGGAACUGAGACACGGGCCAGACUCCUACGGGAGGCAGCAGUGGGGAAUAUUGCACAAUGGGCGCAAGCCGGAUGCAGCCAUGCCGCGGGUGUGAAGAAGGUCUUCGGAUUGUAAAGCACUUUAAGUUGGGAGGCGGUACCAACAGAAGAAGCACCGGCUAACUUCGUGCCAGCCGCCGCGGUAAUAC
rnacentral:rRNA from 1 species